rnacentral:lncRNA from 1 species
CCGGGAAUGACCAAACAGCAACAAGGCAGAACUAUGUUACUCACAUCGAACUCUGACGUUCUCCUCAGGUGAUGUAUGUAUGUCAUUGACUGUUGUCUUCCUGGAAAGAUACCUUGCUAGCGGUGUUACUGGGAGGAGGCACUGGGAGAGGCUGUGGAUGACCUGCUUCACCCUGGAGACCAGAGGUAACGCAUGGCACCGUGAUAAGGCCAGCAAUACGGUACAGCAAGAGGCAUCCAGCUGCUGAACAGAUCAUAAAUAACAUUAACUAACUAACUGAAUAGAUAAUGGAUGAGCUAAGUCCCAAUUAGCUUGAGAAUUAUCGGGGAGCUAAGAACGUAUUAAUAAAAUGUUUUAUUUGAAACAUUAACUUAAAACCUUCAUUGCAAAUGUCUACUAGUCAUUUAUCCUGUGCAUUUCUGUCCAUAAGCAGAUUGGGCAAGCUUCCCCUCACCCCAGCCCAGUUUCAGCUCGGUGUUACAGUGAGUUUAUGCGUCUGCCUCUGACUGCUGGGCUGAUGGUGUCACUGAUUGCGUCAUUCCCAAGGCUGUUAUGGAUGCAAUAGCGCUGGAUAACCACGUUUCCAGACAUUUCAGGCCAAAUUUGUAGGCCUGUUGGAUCUUUGCUUUUAACUUGGCCUUCCAAGAAUAUAGCCAGAAAUCGGCAGCUUGAUAGCCAUUGACUCAAUUGGCAAUGACAAUAAACAGGCUAAUUAAGUUUUGUUUAAAUUACACUAGAGCAGAGGUCUCAAACUGGUUCCACGGAGGGCCGAGUGUCUGCAGGUUUUCGCUCUCACCUUGUACUUAACUGACUAAUUAGGUCACUAAUUGGUUCGUUUAUACCCCCACCUGGUUGUUUAGGUCUUUAAAGGAAAACCCAAAAACCUGCAGACACAUGGCCCUCCGUGGAACCAGUUUGAGACCUCUGCACUAGAGGCUUGGAAAUAUGCUGACAUUGCUAAAGUGGGCAAAUAUUAACUGGAAUUUUUUUUUACUCCAUCAUCAUGUCAUGAAAAUUUGUUGGACUGAUGGCAGUGUUGUCAUUAGCUAGCAAAUGCUAAAUUAUGCUAAAUGUAGC